UACGUAGGGACCGAGCGUUGUCCGGAUUCAUUGGGCGUAAAGAGCUCGUAGGCGGCCACUCAAGUCGAAUGUGAAAGCUCGAGGCUUAACCUCGAGCCUGCAUUCGAUACUGGGCGGCUAGAGUGUGGUAGGGGGAUCUGGAAUUCCUGGUGUAGUGGUGAUAUGCGUAGAUAUCGGGAGGAACACCUGUGGCGAAGGCGGCUUUCUGGGCCUUACCUGACGCUGAGACGCGAAAGCGUGGGGAGCGAACAGG
rnacentral:rRNA from 1 species